AUUGAACGCUGGCGGCAGGCCUAACACAUGCAAGUCGAGCGGAUGAAGGGAGCUUGCUCCUGGAUUCAGCGGCGGACGGGUGAGUAAUGCCUAGGAAUCUGCCUGGUAGUGGGGGAUAACGUCCGGAAACGGGCGCUAAUACCGCAAACGUCCUGAGGGAGAAAGUGGGGGAUCUUCGGACCUCACGCUAUCAGAUGAGCCUAGGUCGGAUUAGCUAGUUGGUGGGGUAAAGGCCUACCAAGGCGACGAUCCGUAACUGGUCUGAGAGGAUGAUCAGUGACAAUGGAACUGAGACGCGGUCCAGACUCCUACGGGGGGAAGCAGUGGGGAAUAUUAGACAAUGGGCGGAAGCAUGAUCCAGCCGUGCCGCGUGUGUGAAGAAGGUCUUCGGAUUGUAAAGCACUUUAAGUUGGGAGGAAGGGCAGUAAGUUAGUACCUUGCUGUUUUGACGUUACCAACAGAAUAAGCGCCGGCUAACUUCGUG
rnacentral:rRNA from 1 species